GACGAACGCUGGCGGCGUGCUUAACACAUGCAAGUCGAGCGGUAAGGCCCUUUCGGGGGUACACGAGCGGCGAACGGGUGAGUAACACGUGGGUGACCUGCCCUCAGCUCUGGGAUAAGCCUGGGAAACCGGGUCUAAUACCGGAUAUGACUCCAUGACGCAUGUUGUGGGGUGAAAGCCUUGUGCGGCUGAGGAUGGGGCCCGCGGCCUAUCAGCUUGUUGGUGGGGUGAUGGCCUACCAAGGCGACGACGGGUAGCCGGCCUGAGAGGGCGACCGGCCACACUGGGACUGAGACACGGCCCAGACUCCUACGGGAGCAGCAGUAGGAAUCUUGCGCAAUGGGCGAAAGCCUGACGCAGCAACGCCGCGUGGGGA
rnacentral:rRNA from 1 species